rnacentral:rRNA from 1 species
GUCCUAGCCCUAAACGAUCAGGACUUGGGGUGCAUCCCGACGGGGUGCGUCCCGUAGCUAACGCGUUAAGUCCUGCGCCUGGGGAGUACGGUCGCAAGACUGAAACUCAAAGGAAUUGACGGGGGCCCGCACAAGCGGUGGAACAUGUGGUUCAAUUCGACGCAACGCGAAGAACCUUACCUGGGCUUGAACUGCUACUGACCAGCGGUGGAAACAUCGCCUUCUCGCAAGAGACAGUAGUAGAGGUGCUGCAUGGCUGUCGU